GACAGAGGGUGCGAACGUUGUUCGGAAUUACUGGGCGUAGAGGGCGCGUAGGCGGCCUGUUAAGUCGAACGUGAAAUCCCCGGGCUCAACCCGGGAACUGCGUCCGAUACUGGCAGGCUUGAAUCCGGGAGAGGGAUGUGGAAUUCCAGGUGUAGCGGUGAAAUGCGUAGAUAUCUGGAGGAACACCGGUGGCGAAGGCGGCAUCCUGGACCGGUAUUGACGCUGAGGCGCGAAAGCCAGGGGAGCAAACGGG
rnacentral:rRNA from 1 species